rnacentral:piRNA from 1 species
UAUUUGUUUUUGUGUAGGGUUGAGGCCCC